UGGGGAAUUUUGCACAAUGGGGGAAACCCUGAUGCAGCGACGCCGCGUGAGUUAGAAGGCCUUCGGGUUGUAAAAAUCUUUUCUAUGGGAAGAAAAUGACAGUACCAUAGGAAUAAGGACCGGCUAAUCACGUGACAGCAGCCGCGGUAAUACGUAAGGUCCGAGCGUUGUCCGGAAUCAUUGGGCGUAAAGGGUACGUAGGCGGGUAAGCAAGUUAGAAGUUAAAUCCUAUAGCUCAACUAUAGUAAGCUUUUAAAACUGCUCAUCUUGAGGUAUGGAAGGGAGAGUGGAAUUCCUAGUGUAGCGGUGAGAUGCGCAGAUAUUAGGAGGAAUACCGGUGGCGAAGGCGACUUUCUGGCCAUAACCUGACGCUGAGGUACGAAAGCGUGGGUAGCAAACAGG
rnacentral:rRNA from 1 species